GAUCAAAGAACCCCAGCCCCAUUUCCUCCAGUGUUCUCAUUACCAAAAUUCCCAAUGGACGUUCAGUCAAAACUGGAUAACAAAGAACCCUGUCAUAAGAUCAGCUCUUACCAGUAUAAAAUUAUAAGAGUGCUGCAAGUGUCUAUGGCUCAGCACACACUGUAAGUUUAUAAAAAAAAACUAAUUGAAACGCCUAAAUUCCUGUUGUACAUUUGCACACUCUUUCCUUUUGACAGCUAUCCUUCAAACAGUGACUAUGUUUCUGUAGUCAAGGCUCUAAUCUCCAAAUACUCUUUCCUGAGAGAUGCAGAGGGAAAUGUAUAUAAAAUUCAAAAUGGAACGAUCCCCUGUUGGUUAGAGAGUCGGACUCGUGAACAGAAGGUUGCCGGUUCCAUUCCCAGGUUCGACUGGUUCGGUUCGACUGAGGUGCCCUUGAGCAAGGCACCUUAACCCUACUUGCUCCCUGGGCGCUGCAGUGAUAGCUGCCCACUGCUCUGGUAUGUGUGUUCACGACUUGCUGUGUUGUUGCUGUUCACUACUCUCUGGAUGGGUUAAAAGCAGAGGUUACAUUUCGGAUAUGGGUCACCAUUCUGACUAAUAGUUCACUAUCACUUUCAAAGGAAUAGUUCACUCAGAUAGGUGAAGUUAGGUGAAGACUGUGUCCGUUCUAUUGGUGAGGAUGCUACUUCAAUUAAUGCCCAUGUGAAGACCUUACAGGACCAGUACAAGAAGACGCAAUAUGCUGAUGUUGCAAUAGUGGAUGAAAAAAUUAAACAUUUGCCUGGAGGAGGAGGGAAAUAGUGAAUGGCAUUCCGGUUGCUGAGAUUUUAAAAAAAAUAUCCCUUCCUCAGGACUCCUUCAGUUUGUUGCAAUUCUUCUGGGUACAAUUCACCUUCACAAGGCAACAUAGCAAAGCAUACCAAAAUGUGUUUAUGCAAGUCACAUAUAUGGAUUUCCGAGCUGCUCUGGUUUUACUUCCAGUGAUAUUCAGGGAGAAAGUGGACAUUUAUGUCACAAUUGGAGUCGGACAGGAUGAACCAGCUACACCAUAUCCCAGUGUACAGAUUUUGGGAACGUUUGACUGGAAACAGGUCUUCAGUGAGAAGAGAAUCUUCAGCACUGUGAAAAUGGAGGGAUCUGAAAUUUGCCAAGCAGUUGGGGUCGAGGAUGGAGUUCUUUCUGCUUUUUGUGCAUAUUUUGUCUUCAACCUUGCGUAUUCCUUGCACAACAGAAAUACCCUGCUCUUUCUCCAGAGGCAUGUGUUGAAGGUAAUGACACUUGGUGACAAGCCAUUGCCAACUGCUGUUGUCAGGAUUAUCAAUCUUUUAUCCUAGACUCAGGAUGCCACGGCCCUAUGCUUGUCCAAAGUGUUCACGUUGACAUUUUACUGCAAUAAAACUAAUUAAACAUAUAGUCUUGAUUCAUGCUCAUGAGCCUAAUUUUUCUAUCUGCUGCGGACUUGAUGAGUGUCAGCGUUUCUUUUGCAAAUACGAGUCUUUCAGGCAUCAUGUACAGUAUAUAGAAAACACAGAACUCACAUUUGGCCAAAUGAAAGGAAUGUCACUGGAGAGGUUGAAGUUGACAUUAGUGACAGUGAAGUCAACAUUAGUGACAGUGAAGUCAACAUUGACAAUACUGACAAUGAAGUCAACAAUGACAUAGCAGAGGAUGCAUCUGAAGAUGUUGUACCAAACAUGAAUGAUCUUCUGACUAAUUUCCGAGCAAAUCUUAUUUCGUUUGUGUUGAAAUGCAGAGAAAAAAACAUCCUACCACAGUCUGUUCAGCAGGAAAUCUUAGACAAUGUCAAGUUUCCAUUUAGUUUCUUCAAAGAAAACUAUGAUUCCUUGCUUAUUUGCCAUAUAAAGCUAAAUGGAUUUAAUAUCGAAGACAUUCCUGAACUUGUCGGGCAUUUACAAUCAUUUGACUUUUUUUGCUGAGGCAUGUAAAGUGAUAGAUACUGAACACUUGUUUAAAGCAUACUGUGCUUUAUACAUUUGGACAUGAUAGAACCUGUGCAACAUACUUUAAGAGAUAUUAACGGUCAGAAGAUUGGACAUUUUGCUUAUGUUCCCAUCACUGAUGUGCUAAAAAAGUACUGCGGCCAUGAGGAUAUAUGGCAUUCUAUACAGGCACAAAAUAUUCAGCCAAGGGAUGAGCAUGUGCUGAGAGACUACAGUGAUGCAAUGUACUUUAAGGAACAUCCAUUCUUUGCCAAACAUCCAGAUGCAUUAAGGCUGCACUUCUAUGAGGAUGAAUUCGAAGUGGUUAAUCCUCUUGGUUCUAAAAGAAAGAAACACAAAGUCUGUGCCAUCUACUACACUGUUGGCAAUGUUAGAUGUAAAAUAUAGGUCUCAGCUAAAGCAUUUUCACCUUGACUUACUCGUUAAGCAUUCUUUGUUUAAGCAGCAUAUGGACAUUAUUCUAAAACCAUUGUUGGAUGAUUUAAAAUUACUGUCAACUGAUGGAUUUGAUUUGAAGUUCAGUGAUAAGACCUUCAAAGUGUGUGCUGCUCUGGCAUCUAUCUCUGGGGACAAUUUGUCGGCGCACAUGAUAGGGGGCUUCACCAUGUCCUUUAAAUCUGGACGGAUAUGCAGAUACUGUAUGGCAACUCACUCAAGUAAGAAUGAGUUUUUCAGUGAAGAUAAGUUUAUUCUCAGAACUUCAGCGGUCCAUAAGUAUCACUUGGAUUUCAUCAAAGAAAACCCCAACAACACUGCUGUACAGUAUAUGGUGUUGAGAGAAUCUGUCCAUUUGAUGAACUAAGUUACUUUGAUGUGACGAAAGGAUUGCCUCCUGACUUGAUGCACGACUUGUUAGAAGGUGUAACACCAUUAGUAGUCAAACUAGUUUUGUGUAAGGCACACCGAGAAAAGCAUAUAACUAUACAGGAAGUAAAUGCGGAACUGAGUCAAUUUUCCAUAGGUGAAAAUGAUAGAGCAAACAAACCAUCCUAGCUGUCUGAGAAAAUUUUACAUAAUUCAAAUAUCUCAGGGUCAGCCUCACAGAAAUGGUGCCUAUUUAGGAUUUCACCUUUUUUGAUUGCACAACGCAUUCCGCCCUGUUCCAAAUAUUGGAAUGUCUACCUUCUAUGUCGAGAAAUUACAGAUAUUGUUAUGGCACCUACAGUAAAAAGAGAAAGCCUUCCAAUUCUUGACAUGAAAGUGAAAGAGUUCUUGCAAAAGUUAAAAGAAGUGUCAUUAUCUAAUACAUUAUGCAAGACUUAUUUCAUCUUACGGUACGCUGCGCCCUCUGUGGUGCAUGCAUUUUGAAAGCAAGCAUUUGUAUUUUAAGAAUGUUUCAAGCACCUGUAAAAACUUCAUGAACAUUUCGGCUUCUUUAAGCAAAAGACACCAAUUCAAACAGUGUUGGGAGUUUUCAUUCAGAAGCAUGCUGGGUGAUUAUGAAAAAGCUACCUUGUUCCUUUGUUUUUCCUCCACGUGGGAAGUAUUUAUUUUCUGCUUUGUUAUUUAGUCCUGUCCUUGUUUUACCCCCCAUCGUGGGUCUUUGUUUUGUGAUUAUUGUUUAAAUAAAUCUCGUUUUUUGAUUAACCCCUUAACUGCUGCCUGCACUUGGGUUCUUCCCCACA